AUUGAACGCUGGCGGCAUGCUUUACACAUGCAAGUCGAACGGCAGCGCGGGGCAACCUGGCGGCGAGUGGCGAACGGGUGAGUAAUACAUCGGAACGUACCCAGAAGUGGGGGAUAACGUAGCGAAAGUUACGCUAAUGCCGCAUACGUUCUACGGAAGAAAGUGGGGGACCUUCGGGCCUCAUGCUUUUGGAGCGGCCGAUGUCUGAUUAGCUAGUUGGUAGGGUAAAGGCCUACCAAGGCGACGAUCAGUAGCUGGUCUGAGAGGACGACCAGCCACACUGGGACUGAGACACGGCCCAGACUCCUACGGGAGGCAGCAGUGGGGAAUUUUGGACAAUGGGCGCAAGCCUGAUCCAGCAAUGCCGCGUGAGUGAAGAAGGCCUUCGGGUUGUAAAGCUCUUUUGUCAGGGAAGAAACGGCUGAGGAUAAUACCUUUGGCUAAUGACGGUACCUGAAGAAUAAGCACCGGCUAACUACGUGCCAGCCGCCGCCGUAAGAC
rnacentral:rRNA from 1 species